CCUUACAGCCAAGGCCUGUGGUAGGGAGCUAGGCUGCAGCGAGCGCGGCACUGACAGGGACGCGCGCGCGAUCGAGCUCGGACCCCGGGUCAAGGCCGCCAUCACCGCCGCUCGCUUAGUAGUCCCUCCGCCGCUUCCCCUCGCCAUGGAGGCGAGGCCGCCGCCGCCGCCACGGGGCUUCGAGCCAUGGGCCGGGCGGCGGCCCUGAGGGCGAGUGGCGGGCCGAGACAUCGCCGCGGAACUGAGGCGGAGCUGCCGUCCCCGUCCCCAGAGGUCCCGCCCAGCGCCGGACUCAGUAGAACAGCAACAAAAAGGUAUUUAUGGAAUUCAAAUGAGUGGUGAUGGAUGAUGUAGUUCGAAUAGCUAAGAUAUUCCUGCCCUCCUCUGAAGUCCUCCUACUUUAUUGACUAGAUUACUUCUGAAGACAUUAGUAAGUGACCUUUCUUACCUCAAACUGCCUUAGUUGAUCCUCCAUCCUGCUGUUAAUUAUUGUUUCUAAAAAUCCACAUUGUUCCAGUCAAUUUCCUUGUGUUCAAAGGUAGCUGAACCACAGUGGUGGUUCCCCAUUGUGCUCACUGGUAAGUCAGAACAUUUUAUUUUGGGGGAAAACAACAAAAUUCAUACUAUUGUGGCUCACAGGCCCCUUGGUGAUAUGAUGCCCACCUAUUCUCACCUCAUUUUGUGCAUUAUACCCUCAAUCCUACUAGCACCAAUCUUUCCUGUCUGCCAUUUUCACAUUCAUUUAAUGAGUUCCAGGCCAGCCUAGGCUACUUAGCAAAACCCUGUCUCAAAGAAACAAUACCCAUGCUGGAUGGUGAUGGCUCACACCUGUAAUCCUAUCUAUUUGGGAGGCUGAGAUCAGGAGGAUUGAGGUUCAAGGCCAGCCCAGGCAAAUAGUUUUUGAUGCAUGACUCAAGUGGUAAAGUGCUUGCA
rnacentral:lncRNA from 1 species